AGAAACUGUAAUGUGAUUAUCUAUUACUGUAAUAGACUAAUAGGGAAGCGCUGAUUUUCAGAUUGAUCUGGGGCUAUAUGUGCACAUCUGGCCCUGAGUGGUGAGCUUCCUCCACACUUUCCCUACUCACAUCUCUACCAACGGUGGCCGGCUCAUUUCAUCUCCUCUCCACCAGGAUGAAUUCUCCUUUCUUUGCCCCUGCUGGGAUGUGAUAUACACCUAAACCCAUGGCUGCAUCUGUCUAUCUUGCUACCAGCACCAGACAAAGGUCCCUUUGCCUUCACAGCUGCAUCAUCCUACCUCUUAAUUUUUU
rnacentral:lncRNA from 1 species